rnacentral:rRNA from 1 species
UACGUAGGGUGCAAGCGUUAAUCGGAAUUACUGGGCGUAAAGCGUGCGCAGGCGGUGAUGUAAGACAGGUGUGAAAUACCCGGGCUUAACCUGGGAACUGCAUUUGUGACUGCAUCGCUGGAGUGCGGCAGAGGGGGAUGGAAUUCCGCGUGUAGCAGUGAAAUGCGUAGAUAUGCGGAGGAACACCGAUGGCGAAGGCAAUCCCCUGGGCCUGCACUGACGCUCAUGCACGAAAGCGUGGGGAGCAAACAGG